UUCGUAGGUGACCUGCGGAGGAUCAUUGUCGAUGCCUAAACAUCAAACGACCCGAGAAUGCGUUGACAAACAUACUGUGUGCGUCGGGGCCGGGGGGACGCGUGCCAUUCGUGCGCCCCCUCUGUGUCCUCGACGCGUCUAAACAAAACCCCGGCGCAGGUCGCGCCAAGGAACUUGAAAUGAAUUUGCCCGCCCCUUGCCCCGGCGUCGGUGCGUGAAGGGCGGAGCAUUCUUGUCGUAUU
rnacentral:misc_RNA from 1 species